AAGUGGCGGCUCUUGUGACUGUUGGAAGCAACCAAUUCACCGGCAUCGUUAUUAGCGCCCGUCACUUCACUUCACUUCACUUCAUAAGUGAAGUUAAAGAGGAGCUAAUCGACCCAUCACUGCUGCCUGUUGUGUUUGUGGCGGCUGACGUUUGAAGGUUUUUAGACAGCACUACAGGAGAACUGCCUUGUCACCAGAAAAAUGUUUGAGACUGGUAUGGCUAUACUGAGGCCAGGAGCCCCCAAUCAUCCGUAAUUUUCACUCUAACAUACAUCUGUUUUUUGCAUAACAACCAAGAUAAGACUAAAAUUUUACCCAUGUGUUAGGCAAAUAGCAUGCACCAAUAUAUGUGUUGCUUGAUUAUCAGAUUUUACACAAGACUGUCUGUCACAUUCAAGCCUCUGCUAAAGAUUUAAGGUGAAUCACCUUAGACGCAAAUAAAUGAUUGAUAUCUCUUGGAAAUUCA